CAGAGACCCUGGAAUCAUCAGAGUCUGACAAUUGCGAGAUGGUGGCAGUAGUGGCUGUCUGGUCAUGAAAUGCUGCCAAGGCUUUGGGGAUAGAGUCUGCAAUUGCAGCUUGAAGCCAGGCUUUUAAUUCUGCUGACAUUGCAGGUUCUGGUUGGUCCGACAUGGUGACCAGUAAAAUAGUAGUGGGUUCACCACAGAAUCA